rnacentral:rRNA from 1 species
UACGGAGGAUGCGAGCGUUAUCCGGAUUUAUUGGGUUUAAAGGGUGCGUAGGCGGAUUUUUAAGUCAGCGGUAAAAUGUCCGGGCUCAACCCGGGCCGGCCGUUGAAACUGGGGAUCUUGAGUGGGCGAGAAGUAUGCGGAAUGCGUGGUGUAGCGGUGAAAUGCAUAGAUAUCACGCAGAACUCCGAUUGCGAAGGCAGCAUACCGGCGCCCAACUGACGCUGAGGCACGAAAGCGUGGGGAUCGAACAGG